rnacentral:lncRNA from 1 species
GAAGAAGAGAGAGAGAGAGAGAGAGAGAGAGUGGAGAAUCUUCUGCACCAAGCAAACCAAGGAGGAGGGAGAGAGAUCAUGGAGAGAGAGUGAGUAGAGAAAGAGAGAGAUCUAGCUGGUUGAUUGCAAGUGCUCAGAUUGGGGUGGGAGGCAGCCACCGGAUGCAGACAACAAAGCUGGGGUGAAGAUGCGGCCAAGGUAGAAUGGUGGAUCGUCGGGUCUAUUUAUGGAGAGUAGGAGAGAGAAAAGUUCAUAAGGUUUUCUGAAACUGUUCACUGUUGUAUUGCUUGAACGUAAAAGGUUUUGCUUCCCUAGAACAGAAGCAAAACAUUUCUCAUAUGAGCCAAGAAAAAAAGAACAGAAGCAAAACAUUUCUCAUAUGAGCCAAGAAAAAAAGAAGAUAGAAAUUCUUUUAAAUAUAGCACUCCUGCGUGUCAAACGCAGAAGUGCUAUAGAAUGGGUGAACGUUUGGUUUCUGAAACCAAAUGUUUGCCCAAACAAACAUGCCCUAAGGAACUUACCAGGGCUGAGACACGCCUAUGUAGACCAUGUCUUUCCAUUGCUUGAUGCAAACAACCAACUAAAUUCUUCCCUGCCAAUCCAGAGUCAACAUGUCUUUAUUAGCACAUUUUCAAGGGAGCAAUCCACUUGCAUAGAAUAUCAAGAAACUGGGAAACUAGCUCAAGAUAUAAGAGAGAACAUUUAACAAUAGCACAUAUACAUGAUUGUUUAUACAUCAGACCAUCUAAACUCCAUACGAGAAGGCAAAAGUUCUACAUAUCCAUUCCGAAUUCAACCUGCAAUAACUUACUUUUCCAAAAUAAGCACAAGUGGAAACAGAAUUAUAUAUGAUGACCCAAAGAUCUGUUUUUCAUUUUAUAGGAAUAGAGUAACAUGUGAAUUUUUAUUGAGAAACAACCUAGUUAAUUACUUUUCUUUCUUGCUCACUACACAAGUCUUGGUCACUGAAAGCCAAUUCAUUACAUUUCGUUCUAGUAUUAUCUGCUCUCCGCCCAUGAAAAUCCUUUUGGUUUGGCCUGGAGAUAAAAAAAAUUUUGAGCCCUUCUUACAGCACCACUGCUAACAUGCACCGUAUUGAAAAGAAAGAAUCACACCUCCUAAUCACCUCAACAAAGCACCUUAAUUUAUCCAUCUGAACAUCCAUCUAUUUCCACUCAAAAGGAAGGACAAUAAAAUGGUCUCAACAAAGCACCACAAGUCUAAAUAUCGCAAACAAGGAACAUUCAAGCUAUAAAAAGGUCUCAAGAAAUUCUAUUGUUUGUCGGGCAUGUACUAGAAGGACAAUAUUGUAGAACUGCUUCCUUAGCAUUAUCUUCUUGAUUGAAAGCAUUGUAUCAUACAUAGCCACCCCUAUGUGUACACAUGUCUUUUUCUGGACAUAAUGUUUGUAAAGUUGGAAACAUAUUCACCGUAUUUGUUUUCUUGCUACUGCCUAUCUAAUGCAUUUUAUGUUCUGAGAAACCAACAAGCAAUACACAUGAAAAAAGAAUAUAGAGACUAAAAGAACUAAUUGCCUAUGAAUAUUACAAAGAAAGAAAAAUAACUAUAUGAACCAAAAGGGUUAAAAUCAGAUGAGUAUCACAAAUAACUUUGCUACAAGAACGACAUCCAAUGUUUCAAAAAGCGCUAGGAGGCUCCUAGGCGGUCAGGGGGGUCCAGGCAACCCAACGCUUAGGUGGGCGCCCAAAAACCUGGGCGGCCCAGUAGAAAUAUUUUUUUUUUGGGUUUUCUCUCUCUAAAAUAGCCUCCAAGUGGGUUUUAGGUUUUAAAUGAACUUAAAACCCACAAUUUUGCCCCUUUAGUAUUAAAAACAUAACCCAAAAAUACCCUCAAGGAGCCGUAAUUCCGUCCUUGGGUGGGGCACAAGCCCUAGGCGGCCGCCAGGCGCUGGGCGGUCCCCUUUUUGAAACAAUGACGACAUCAAUAAAUUGUAUAGCUAAAUAUACUAAUCUCAAAACACUGAAUGCUUGGUAUACAAGCAUAAUACAACAUUUUGUGCACCACAUAAUAUAUAUUAAUACAAAGAAAAUUUCAAAAUCAGAACGUGAGAAAUCAAGAUGCCACGACAUCUAAAGCAGAAACUAAACUAAAAAAAAUCAGAGGUAAAUAUUCAAACUUACAACUUCCAAACUGAAUUAUAUGGCAAACAUCCCAAUUCAAUCUAGAAUGAUCUUGUCACAUGAAGUAAACACAGUUAAAAUUUUCAAUUUCACAGCUUUCUAUUACCCAAUGAGAGAUAAUGCCAUUUCAACAACAGCACAAUUAAAUUAAAUCCCAGAUAAAAGUAACCAGAAAAACCCAAGAAUAUCUCAUUCUGCAAAGGAAUUCCUCCAUAAAUUUCAGCCCAAUGAGCACAAAAACCAAAUAACAGAAAACCCCAGAAAUUCUGUAAGCAAAUAACAAUAGCAUAGAACCCAGUUUUAUAGAUAUCAAAUCCUAUUGCAUAAUACAACCUCCUAAAUAAACUUUCAGCAAUAAAUAAAAUAAAAAGAAUAAAAGAAUACUUAGAUUAUUAACUCAUAAAACCAAAUGAAAAUUAGUUCAAUGACACCACGAAAACAACAUCAACAACGAUAGCAAUAAUGAUCAAUUAAUCAAACACCUAAAGGCCAAAACAUUUUACAUUAUAUAAACAAAAUCAAAGUAAUCAAACAUUCGAGCCCCAAAAUAGUAAUUCUCAAUAAAAAGAAAACUCACAUCAAAAUUUAUGUGACAAACUAGAAAAAUAAAACAUAAAUAAAAAAUAAAUAAACUCAGUGAAUAUGGGGGAUUUCUUCUUUGUGCAUAACCAAGAAAAAACAAAGAAACAAAAAAUCAAAUAAAAAAAAGAAACAAAGCUCUCUGUAGACUUGGCGUUAAUCUUCUUUGAGCUUAAUAAUAAUAAAAAAAGAACCUAAAUCAAAAAUAAAAUAAAAUCUCAUUUAGAUCUGGGAUUAACUUUUUUGAGCUCUAAAUAAAAAAUAAAAUAAAAAAGGACUUGUUGUAGCUUUCUCUAAGCGCUUAGCUUGCAGUAACGGGGGUGAUGAAGGGAACAGACCUAAGGCGAGGAGGACAGGAGUUGGUUGACGGUUGAGCUUUGUUGGGGCGAGUGGCAAUGGAUGGUUGAGUUGCUAGGGUUUUGAGGGAGAAAGGGUUAGAAAGAUGGAUGGUUGAGUUGCUAGGAAUUUUUCUUCUCAGAGGGUGGUGAGUUUUUUCUUCUAAAAGAGGUGAGUUAACCAAGGGUCCCCUGCGUUGAUGAGUUUUGGACUUUACAGCCCCGAUGAGUUUUUCCAUGUUACAACUUUUUUACUCAACUUUUCGUGAAAGUUGAAAGCGG